UGAACAGAUUUUCAUAACACCCUACAUGUUGCUAUGACGGCCAGCCUCAUAAUGAGUCAAACAAAGGUGGUUGUCCCAGGUGAUAGAUUAUCAGGUGGGAGGCAGUGAUGAAAAGCCUAUGCCAUCUUUAUCUUGUAUUUGAAAAGGAGAAGAAUGCAGAAGAGGAAGUAUGAGGAGAGUGGUAGGUUAGAGCAUAUCUGGAGUUACACUUUUGCCAUCUAUCUAUAUAUUUAUUUCUCUUAGACGUACCCGUCACUAAUCCCAUGUGUGGCAGCUCUUGCAAGAGUUCAAGAGCACCUGCCAGACUAGCAACAGGGAUGGGGGAGAAAUGACGGGGAUGGGGGAGAAAAUAGGGAUGGCGGUGGUGGAAAGUAGGGAUGGAGGCAUCUGCUGCUGGGAGUUGAGUGGGCAGGAGGAGGCCCGCCAUCCAGAAAGCCAGGGGGUGGAGAAGGGGGAAGAAGAUGAGUGGGCCAGCCAGCCCAGCCGAAAGCAGGAAGCGGUGGCGGCAGCUGCCAGGAACAGGAGGCGGCAGCGAGCCGGCCUGGCCACUGAGAACAGGAGACAGUGGUGGCCCGGCCCGGCCAGCCAGAGGAAGGGAGGAGAUGGCCGCUGCUGGGAGUUGGUGGGUGGCAGGAGGUGGCGGGCCAGCUUUCCGGCUGGUCCACGAGCCAGAAAGCCUGGGAGGCAGAGAAGGGGUGGAGAAGAGCAGAGGGCCAGCCAGCGGGCCAGAAAACCGGCUGGGCCAGCAUGGGGAGUGGGAAGCGAAGGUGUCAGCCUGGGGCGUAGAUGCUCUGUGCCCAGCUCUGCUAGUUUAUAGUAGAGUUCACAGAGUUCACUCCUCUCUCUUAUCAAAUACAGCGUGUGAUCCUAAAACAUUGGCAUCUAGUUUCGGGGAUAGAAGGUUGCAGUAAUCCCCCACUCUUUGCUUAUAGGAAGACUAGGAAUUUAGGUAGCUUUUUGACAAGGGUGGACUCCCUGGAGAAAGGAGAUCAGAACACAGGGUUAAGAGGCUUUUAUCCGUGUGGGAGGUGUUCAGUUGGUGAGCAAGAGGAAUGCACGAUUAGUGUGAGAGAUCCUAACACAGGCAGUAAAAUGAACUUGGACUUUUUUGCUACGUGUGAUACCAAGGGAGUAGUAUAUGCGCUUAAAUGUGCAUGCCCCCAACUGUAUAUAGGUAAGAGUAUACGUAAAGUGAGAUCUAGAAUCCUGGAAUAUAAAUCUAGAGUGAGGACAUGUCAUAGCGAGUCACUCAUAGUAGCCCAUUUUUUAGAAAAGGGACAUACAUGUGAUGAAUUCAAAUAUUUUGUCCUUUUAAAAUACACACUGCGAAGAUUCAGUUAUGAAGAUAUGAAUACUACAUUAUUAAGGAAAGAGGCGUUCUUCAUACAAUUGUUUAAGACUUAUGUUGGAGGUCUUAAUAGCAAUCAAGAUCUUUUGUGUUUUUUGGGAGAACAUUAGGAAAGAGAGGAAUGCACACAGUUACUUUGGAAUAUCUAUGGAUGCUGUUAUCAUGAGUUUUACAGAAUCAGGAGAGAAAGAAGAAACUACCUGAUCAGUUUGGUAAAAGGACAGAGCUGUGGGUCAUUAAAACUUAGCGUGCUUAAUUGGGGAUCAGUUUAAAAAGGAAGGGUGAGCGUAGAGAUUCUAAGCAUGUCUCCACAGGCGUAUUAGUUUAAAAACCGUGGUAAGAUAAGGCCGGUAACAGAAUGUAAGCAUACAUUGCUUAUACUUAAAAUGGUUUAUCUGAAGAAGUAACAAUUAGUUAUGAAACAGAUUAAUAUCCGGAAAAUCUGUAAUAUUGCAUAUCGUUCACUGUACUGCACAUGGAUUUGGCUUUGAAAGCAUAAGGUUAAAUGACGCAGAUUGUCUCCACUUGGAAUAUAUGGAGAAGGAGACGUAUCAUCAUAUUACCGAAUUAAGAAGAGAAACAUCCUCCCCACUGGAUUCCACGGGAUUGGCACUUCUACUGUGAACUAAUACAUCUGCAGGAUAAGAACUGUUUAUCCCUAUAUGGAAAGUUGUAACAUACAUCUGGGGGAAUACUUCUUGUUAUAUAUGUUAAUGCACUUUGUCAUAUCCAGCGUGUAAGCCACUUUGGCUCUGAUACGUUUAUCAGAUAAAUUUAUUGUGGAAGUUAAGUUGACGGUCUGAGUACUACUCUUUAGAUUGUUCUAGUCACGGUGGGUUGUUUGGUUAUUUUUGUUACUAUCGAGUGACUCCUGUUGGUUUAGCAACACUACUUUCUUUUUUGACAGGUCCACUGAUCUUAUAUCCGAGUUCUUGAGUUGUUAUUGUUGCUGCACUGUACAUUAAUAGGCAAAUUAUUGGUUGUUAUUUCUGCAAGUGCAGCAUUGACAUCUUUUAAUGCCUGAACAAGUUGUUUUUUGGCAACUGUUUUUAGAGCUGGAAGUCGAACCCUGGUGGUUGUUUGGUUCAUGUGCUCAGUUAUUUUUUGCUUUAGUUCUUGUUGCUUUUCUGUUAAACGGCAUUUGGGUUUUUGAGGUGAAGGCAAAGGGGAGGUUGCCUGGUAUUGAGUUUGAAACAGUUCAGCAACAGUGGCAUCCUCUAUUUCCAACACCUCCUCCACCUGCAUCUGAGCAAGUUCUUCAGUUGAUGAUAAUUCUUCUUCCAUAUCUUGAGCCUGUGUUGCUCUUUGCAAUUCUUCCAGCUCAACUUCUGUGAAUACUUUAUUUCUCAUUAUGAAUCUUCUCUGGUCUGCUAGCCUUUGUUCUGUUAUUUCUGUAUCUGGAUGCUUCUCUUUCCAAAUUUGGUACAUUUUUUAAAAAUAACCUCUUCUAGUCGGACUAGACUUGUAAUAGCAGAUCAUUACUUCCUUGUUGGCAUUUUUCGUAUAUUUUUUUCCGGUAACCCUUCCAGUAACCCUGCAGUCUCCAGCCCUGGUUGCUCAACUGAAGAUCCUGAGUCCUGUAACCCACUUGCCACCAGAUGUUCAGGGACUCCAGCACCUGGCGCAGUCCUUGUUGACCUGGGCAACAACCGAUCCGGUACAGAUUUAUUAAAGUUACAUCUCACCAUAUUGUUGAUGGGAGAGGCACUCUUUAUCUGGCUCCUCUGGUGAUACCUGUCCAGUAUGGUUGGCCCUCUGGCAUAGCUCUCACCUUCCUCAGAGCAUGCAAGCCCCACAACCACGCCAAGAUGUGCUGGGUUCUGGUGGCUAGAUAGAAAAGGUGAGUGGAUCCAUACAACCAGAAAAGCAAGGUAGGAAAGCUCUCUUCUCCUUCUACCUUGGUUAAAAGUGGGGUACAAAAGCUGGGCUAUACUACUUCUAACAACCUGGGCUGGAGGGAUUUUCGUGAGCUCACACAAUCAUUCAAACCAGGGCAGAAUGCUCCCUACCCUCAUUUUGCUUGCUGUGUGAACAGGCCUAAUGUCUGAAUAGGACUUCUGUGCAUCAGAAAUUGAAAUUAUUUAGAUUGCCAUGGUAUUGCUAGGCUGUAUUUUCAUAACAGCAAGACAGUGUUGUUUUAUUCAAGUUUGAAUUAAUUAAUUCGAGUUAGAAUUAAUCUGUGUCCAAAUCUAACCAAAGCAAAACUUCUCAGAGGAGUGAGAAAUUAUUGUAUUUUCACAAUUGUUACAUUUGUGUUUGAAUCAGACCUGUUUUUAGAACUGUGCAAUAUUGCCUGGCUCUCACACAAUCCUGCAGUAGCUUCCAUUAGUCUGCUCUGACUGACUCCAAACAACUCCAGAUAAUAAAGAAAAGACAUUGACAGAGGUGACAGUGAGGAGGAAGGGGAAACUUGAAUAUUCAGCCCACCCACCCCUGGACUCUCAGUGUUUUAAAAAGGAUAUAGUUGCAGAGGAUAGUCUCUUCAAGCAAGUGAGCACCCAAGUCUCAAAGCAUCAAGGAAAAUGGAAAACAGUCAAGAGAGUUGAUCACCUGUGUGAGAGAAGUUACCAAUCCACACAUGAACCUGUCUCCUUAUCCCAUGACUUCUAAGUUUACUCAAGAGCCUUCGGUGGGAACUUUAUCAAAAGCCUUUUGGGAGUCCAAGCAUACUAAGUCAUCCGGAUCACCUUUAUCCACAUGCCUGCUGACACUCUCAAAGAACUCCAAAAGCACAACACAGAGUGUACAGUGGGUGUCCUGCCCACCUCCUGGUGCUUAUGAUAGGUGCUCCAGAGAAACUUCAGUCAAAUAGGAUACUAGGGUUCUGCUGCAUAUGUCAUUAAAUGCUUCACCCCAAUGCCUCCCCAUGCUGUGGACAACAUCAAGACCAUUUCGUCAUGACUAAGGCACAGUCCAGAUAGAACAUGGGGAAACAGGCUGGUUCCAGAUCAGCAAAAGUGUAAGACAAGGCUGUAUACUUUAUUUUUCUUUAUUCAAUUUAUAUGCUGAACAUAUACAUAGAGAAGCUGGAUUGGAAGAAGAUGAGCGUGGUUUUAAAGUUGGAGGAAGAAACAUCAAUAACCUGCACUACACUGAUGACACCACUCUGAUAGCUGAGAAUGCGGAUGAUCUGCAAGCUCUAGUAAUGAAAGUCAAGGAGCACAGUGAAAAAAUGAGACUACCACUAAAUGUAAAGAAGACUAGAUUAAUGGCAAUGGGUACAGCAACCAGCCUCAGAACUGAUAAUGGAAACAUUGAGGUGGUGGAUAGAUUCUGCCUUUUACGGUCAACCAUCAACAGUAAAGGAUCCAGCAGCCAAGAAAAACGCCGCAGACUAGCAUUUUGUAGGGUUUCACUUAAGGCCCUGGAAAGGAUAUUAAACUGCUGUGAUGUGUCUAAUCUAUUACAAAGAUUAGAAUCGUUUGGACAAUGGUUUUCCCCAUGACUCUCUAUGGAUGUGGAAGUGGGACUUUGAAGAAGCAAAAUAGAAAAAGCAUUGACGCUUUGAAGUUUGGUGCUGGAGAAGACUUUUGAGGAUACCAUGGACAGCCAGGGAAACAAACAACUGUAUCAUAGAACAAAUCAAUCCAGAAUUUUCACGGUUGGCACAUUUGCCCAGGCUCAAACUAUCAAACUUUGGACACAUUAUGUGAAGACCCAGCUCCUUUGAGAAGUCCAUCAUGCUGGGGAAAGUUGAAGGAAAGAGAAGAAGAAGAUGACCAGCAACAAAAUGGAUGGACUCGGUUACGACAGCAAUGAAUGCACCACUGAGAGACCAUAAAGGCCAAGUUGAAGACAAAUCAUCCUGGAGAGAAUCUAUGUGGUUGCUAAAAGUCAACACCGACUUGACGGCACUUAAUCAAGCAAGCAAGCAAGCACCACUGAGAUCUAUAAGACAUGUUAGUCAAGACUAAUUUUAAGUCUUAUUAAAUUUGAUGUAACUUCAUCAUGAUUACAUUAGAUUGGAUGUUGCUCAGUGAGUUGGGAGAAAUAAUCUGACAUUACAACUCAAGUUGUUCAGAUAGUGCCACUGCCAUCAAGUCACCCCUUUAAAGUCAAAUCAGAUAUGGGAGUUCCAUGUGUCCAAAAGAGGCACCUUGUACUUGACAUAGAGGAGUUAAGCUGCCUUUCUCUCAAGUCCUUAGCUAGACAUACCUUUAGUUACAAAGACCUGUUACAAGCCUGGCAACAUCUCUAUAAACAGGAAAACCCUAUGAUUGCCCAGAAAGUUUUUGGCUUUUGUUUCAUUUGGUGCAAAAACAUCUCUAGAUAACCUGCAGAGCAUUGCAGUACCACUAACAGAAAUGUUGACUCAGACAUUAACAGAAGUGAAUGUUUGGGCACUUCCUUUAAAUAAACAAAGAAUAUCUUUGAUCAAUUAUUCCAAGCAAAAAAGUAUUUCCUUGAAUACAAACCAAAUUUCCAUCAAGGAAUCUUAGGAUUUAAAGGUGUGUAAUCUUUAUUAGCCCUACAAAUAUUUAGCAUUCCUGAUGUGGAAUUUUUUAUUUGCUGGAAAUGUGCUCUUGAGAAGCCAGUGAGGUGAUUGGAUGCCUCAUGAAGGACAUGAUUUUGAAAGGAGAAUGUCUGUGUCACCAAGACUGCAAUCCUAAGCAUGCUUAUUAGAAACUCACUGGACUUUCUUCUGAGGAGGAAUGUUUAGGGUCAUCUUGAAUGUAGCUGCCACUAUCAGAAACAAUAUUUGUAUCUAAAAUGUAAAACUUUGCCCCCUAUUAUCAUUACUAUUAAUAUGCUUGUUAGUUUGCCUACCUAGUAACUAAGUGCUUUAAACAAAUGCCUUACUAUUAUCUAUGCUUUUAAAAAAAUAGAACUGGGAUUUCUGUCCCUCCAGUGAAAUCAUAUGAAAAAAAGCAAACUUUUUACAUUUUUGGCUUGUAGAGACACAUGCUCUUCAUGUUCCAUGAGCUGAAAUGCCUGGAAUCUUCAUAUUACAUUGUGCUGCUUUAGUGCUUGAGAUCCCCCCCCCCUUUUUAAAGAAUCAUCCUCAUACAGAUUUCCUUCCUAAUGUUCAUGGUAUCUUUUUGGUUAUCAGGAUAAUUGACCCUUGUUGACCUUAUCAGAAUUUAAAAGCUGAAGAGAAAUGCCCCACUGCUCAAAACCUGAAAUUUGCAUAUAAUAAUCAUGUAGUUGUGACUUAUGCUAAGCAAAAAAUUGCUCAGUGAUUGAACAAAAGCUAUGAAGAUAGAUUUCACUUAAGUAAUUGGCUCUCUUUCUAUUGCUUCUGGUCCAUUAAAUGUGUCAGUAAAAUACAUGAGCACAUAAGGUCAAUGAUCAAAGAAUGUUUACAGGUGUAAUCAGUUUAAAAUGGGAUAAUUAGCCGCAUUAUCACAGUUAACUGAAUUGCAGAAAUUAGAAAUGGAAAGAGCCCAGUAGGUCACUUUGUCAAUCUCACAAACCAAGCAGGAUUAUUUUCUUGAUUGCCAAACACAAUAGGAAGAUUUUAAAGACAGUGUGCUUAUAAUAUUACAUAUACAGGCAGUUAUUUUUUUAUAGUAAUAAUGAUAAUGAACAGUAGCAUCACUCACAGAUCAAGGAUUGAUGAGACCUUCUUUAUAGUAAGCAACAAUUCAUGCAGA